GGGAUCCAGCUUCGGGACUCAGCUCGAGGUGACCGACUGCUGCCACAGGCUCGUGGGCACGAGUGGCGCUGCGCGGACACUUUGGGGGUUAGGCGUGCGUGGGCCGUCGGGGCGCAUUUCCUGCACGUGGCUCCUCGUCGCCCUCCCUCCUCCACCAGCAAGGAGAGCAGAGGGCCAGGAGCCCUAUGAAGAUGCGCGCGAUUCCCUGGUCCUGGCAGGCAGGACCGCAGCGGGAUGGUCGCGCGCCACCUACCAGGGGCAGGUCACCCGCAGAUCCCCUGCGCGCUUGUUCUGGCUGGCUGGACCAGGAGAUGCGUACCUCCGCGGGCGCAGCUGUGAUCUUAGAGAGUUAACUAAGGUGUCUCGAGGACCUAAGUGCAUGGCAUGACUGGCUGGAGCACACCCUGCGUUCACAGGAGGUUCAUAGAUGUCUAUAUGAGCCGCUGCUGAAGAUGCGGGAAUACACCAGAGAAAAUCCCGAAAUGGUGAGUCUGCAGAUCUGGCAAAGAAGAGCUCAUGGAAGACUUCCAGGCUGCACUCCUGGAAUAUGCCUUGGCCAUGUC